rnacentral:misc_RNA from 1 species
GUAUUGAUUGCGUGUGAUCGCAAAUAAAAUAAAAGACAUUCUACACUGCAUCAAUGUUUGUGUGAAAACGCAAGCCCCCCUCCGAACAAGCCGAAAGGGGGACCCACGCGGUGGUGCACAUAGGGGUGAGAUGGAUGGUGUGUGAGAGCACUCGGGCGUGCACGACAAAAAAAAAGCCAGCGACAACCCUCGUACCCCCAUUGUACGAUAAUGAUCCUUCCGCAGGUUCACCUACGGAAA